ACUCAAAGGAAUAGACGGGGGCCCGCACAAGCGGUGGAGCAUGUGGUUUAAUUCGAUGCAACGCGAAGAACCUUACCAGGUCUUGACAUCCAACGAAUCUUGGUGAAAGCCAGGAGUGCCUUCGGGAGCGUUGAGACAGGUGGUGCAUGGUUGUCGUCAGCUCGUGUCGUGAGAUGUUGGGUUAAGUCCCGCAACGAGCGCAACCCUUGCUAUUAGUUGCUAACAGGAGAGCUGAGCACUCUAAUGGGACUGCCUGUGACAAGCAGGAGGAAGGUGGGGACGACGUCAAAUCAUCAUGCCCUUUAUGACCUGGGCUACACACGUGCUACAAUGGAUGGUACAGAGAGCAGCGAGCCCGCGAGGUGGAGCGAAUCUCAAAAAGCCAUUCUCAGUUCGGAUUGUAGUCUGCAACUCGACUACAUGAAGUCGGAAUCGCUAGUAAUCGCGGAUCAGCAUGUCGCGGUGAAUGCGUUCCCGGGCCUUGUACACACCGCCCGU
rnacentral:rRNA from 1 species